GGAGUUAGCCGGUGCUUCUUCUGCGAGUAACGUCACAGAUGUAAGGUAUUAACUUACACCCUUUCCUCCUCGCUGAAAGUGCUUUACAACCCGAAGGCCUUCUUCACACACGCGGCAUGGCUGCAUCAGGGUUUCCCCCAUUGUGCAAUAUUCCCCACUGCUGCCUCCCGUAGGAGUCUGGGCCGUGUCUCAGUCCCAGUGUGGCUGAUCAUCCUCUCAGACCAGCUAGGGAUCGUCGCCUAGGUGAGCCUUUACCUCACCUACUAGCUAAUCCCACCUGGGCUUAUCCAUCAGCGCAAGGCCCGAAGGUCCCCUGCUUUCCCCCGUAGGGCGUAUGCGGUAUUAGCAGUCGUUUCCAACUGUUAUCCCCCACAAAUGGGCAAAUUCCCAGGCAUUACUCACCCGUCCGCCGCUCGUCAUCUUCAAAAGCAAGCUUUUGAAAUGUUACCGCUCGACUUGCAUGUGUUAGGCCUGCCGCCAGCGUUCAAUCUGAGUCAUGAUCAAACUCUGA
rnacentral:rRNA from 1 species